GCUACUAUUAUGAAUUGUAAUGUAAAUAUCUGAUAAGCAUGAUGGACAGGUUGAGAACCACGGAUUUAAGUACUUCUCUCUAUAAAAUGUAACUUCAAUAUAAAUUCCAUCAUUUUUUUCAUUGUUUCAUAUAUUAAAUCUUAUUUCAUUCUGCUAAGUCUUUGAACAAGAGAGGCAUAGGUCAUGCUACAUGGGGUCACAAAGUGUGGAAAAGGAAAUAAUUAGCAUACUUAUAAUCAAGACAGUGAUGAAAGAAAAGUGAAAGGACUGAUUUAUUUUUGAUGACCUACUUUGAACAUAAUCAGGAAUACAGAAUUGUUUUUAACUUAAAGUGGGAAAUAGGAGUAUAGAUAUAUUAUGCAAUUGAUCCAAUUUCAUGUAGGUAUAAAAUCAUGGCUUGGACUCAACAUAAAUUGUCUCUUAUUUCAAAGCCAGUGCUGUACCAUUAGUUGACCUGGUUAGCUUAAGGCAGGGAUUUAGGUGUUGAUGAUGAUAGGACAAAUAUUUGAAGAAUAGGUAUUGCUUGAUAUAUGCAUUGUGCUAGAGUUAGAGGCAGUAGAAUAUUGGAACAUGGCCAUUCCAGAUUGUUGGCUUGUUGAGUUAAGGGACAACCAAUUGAGUAUGCAUGUCUUCAUUUGUUUUCUCCUGAAGUUUUGGGGGCAAAUUAAAGAAAGAUAUCUGAGACAAAGUAAACACCAGGUUCACUGCCCACUUUUGAGAGAACAGAGUACAUACACUCUAAAAAGUUCAUAUACUCUUACUUCUUUCAGAGAACAGUUAAAUGCUUCUAAAUAAAUUCACAGAUUUUUGUUUUGAAAAUCACUCAUUACAUAUGUCUUUUUACUCAAAGCUAAAUUGUUAUUGUGGUCACGAUGCCCUGACUGAAUCCACAGGCCUCACUAGGUGAAUUUGGAUCAGUUAUUUAAAUGUCAGGGUGCCUACCAAAGGGGCUGUGGUGCAUUUCCCCUCACCCAUGGCUCCUUUGAUAAGCAAAGAAAGAAGCAUCUUGUAAGAUAAAUGAAUGGCAUGGAUGGAUAUAAUUAGAAGAAAAACACUUUUAGUGUAAUUUACUGACUGCUGUUAGACAACAUUCCUAAAAAUCCCAAGCCCAAAACACAUUUGUGCCAAACAAGAUGUUCAGCCCCAGUUGAUGAGUGCCACACAGAAGAGGAAGUGUUAGGUUAGUCGGAGGAACACUGGGCAGGACAUGAAUGUCAGGAUGAAGACGGGGGAGUAGCUGGUAACAAUUUGACUAUUUUGAGCAGAUGGGAAAAUAACAGCAGCUUUGCUGGAGAAGACCAUCUGCGAGUCAUGUGUAGGAUGUACUAUAAAGAGAAGAGUAGAGCAGGAAGGCCAGUCAGGAGGCUUGCUGCAGGGUUCAAGCAAAGCUAGCAAGACUUCAGACAAAAGCAAGGGUGAUAGGACAGACUUGCAUUUAAAUUCAAAGGACUACUCAUUUUCAAAGUGAUCUUUUUCAUUUCAACUGAAAUGGGUAGCAGACUAGAGGCCUGAUUAAAAUGCCCACCUAGAAGGAUGAGGGGAUGAUGGGAUGUGUACGUGUUUAGUAUCACCAGUCAGUUUUCUUUCUUCUCUAAAGUCCUGUCCUUUAUGACUUCUUCAUCUACUUUCUAAACUCUGUGAUGGUUACUGUGUUCUGUCAUUUAGACCUCACUGCCUCUGUGCUCUUCAGUUACUAUUGGAUCCCAGACACUAUUGUAGCUAUGUCACAAGUGUAGAUAUACAAGAAACAGCUAGAAAUGGAGAUAAUAACUUGAAAGUGCAGUUUAAGGAAAUAGAGGAAUCUUAGCAAUCAUUUGUGCAUUUAACCACCCCCAGGUGCAUUAGCACUUCUGAUCACAUCCAUCUAUUUUUUAGUUUUCUUUCUAACUACUAUCAAUGAAUUCAGCCUGUCUCAGAAUUUUGAAUCAUCUUGGUUAUUUUUCUUCAAUUAGGAACAAUCCCAAAAGAAUCCUGACCAUUAGGUGUCAUUCCUUUUUUUUUUUUAAUUUCAAUUAAUAUAAUCUUGUUGUGAUGUCUGAAGUAGAGCCCUGUGUGAGGAGUCUUGGGGAGAUUAUGUAAAGAAAGACUCCCUGGUGAUACAGAUAGGAAAGUACAAAGUCAUGAAGACAGAUCAAGAACUCUCAGAAAGAAAUACAGGAUUUCACAUAGUCACUCACUCAAUAUCCUUACACUUUGUAAGAAGAAUUAGAGAAAGAAAUUCUGAACAGAAUUAUUGAAUUCAGAAUGACAGCGCAUGACAUGUGGGAAAGAGCUUUGGAAAUUCAUGCUCAUCUUCCUUACCAAAACUAAACUAAAGAACCAGGAGGCAUUGAAUGUUACAGAGCCACUAUGAUGCAGAUCAUACAGUUGAUUCCCAGUCAUUAUUCAACAAUACUUUACUUCUUAUUGAUUCUGUGUUCCAGUAGCAGCAUUAUGUUCCAAAUCUUCCACAGGCUCAUUAAAACUCCAUUGACCACAAGCACCCUACACAGUGAUUCUCCAAUCUUCUUUCAUGGUAUCUCUCUCUACUUGGACUCCAUUGUGAGGCCAAGAAGGUGGAGGCUCCUUUUGAUAAGGAAGAAAUUGAUAUUAAACCCAUUCAUCCCCCAAGAUACCACAAUGAUUUCUCCUCUGUAAGUUAAACUUCCAGAUAUUCCAUCUCUCAAUUAUUGCUUAUUAUUUUGUCUCAGAAAUACCUCCUGGUUUGAACUGAUCACUGAACUCUGCAUGUCCUCUUUCAGACAAUAUCAUUGACCUUACUCCACCAGAUCCUAACAGUUUAAUAAGUAUAUGGUCAUUCCCAUUGUUCACAUUGCCAAUUAUUUUCAUUUUCCUCACUGAUUCUGGAUUCUGGAUGUGAUAAUAUUAAUUCUAUGUGGCAGACAGAAAUUAAGGUCAGACAAUUCUGAGGCCACAGCUGUGUUGAUUUGUGUUGAACUUUGAGGUUCUUAUUCUUGUGCACUGAUUUCUAGCUCUACGUUUCUGUUUUUCUAAUUGCUUGUGAAAACAGAGAGAAGCUGUUGGAGAAGUGGUGGGUUUUCCAGGCCAGAUGCUGGGAGCGGGGUGAAUUAUGAAUGUUUCCAACCAAAGUCAGAUAUGCUUUUAAUCCCUUCUCCCACAUUUGAACUAUUGAGAUUUCCACUCACAUAUAAAACCAUUUAAGAGUUGGGUCCUAGUUGCUUUUCCUUCAGAGUUCAAAUGACCUCCCAGGGGAAAAGUUCAGGAAUUGAAAAGACUGAAGAUGUUUGAAGUGAUGUCUAUCUCAUCUUCCCUCAUUGUGUGGAUUUUCAAGAAAAGUCUAGAUCCAGCUCUAGACAGUACAAAUACAAGCCUGAGAGAGGCUGCAUGAGCAACACAGCUGAGGUGAGCUUCCUGGACAUGAGUGCUUUUUUAAGUUCACCUGCUAGCAAACAGGUGUUACUGUAAACUGCUGCUCUAUUAUCAUUCCUUGGGCAAAGCUGGGCAGAAUAGCUGACAAAAUUUAUAGAACCAUGCAUAGUCUAGAAUAAAAUUCAGCUGAAGUUACAUAGCCCUCUGCCUGAUAAGACCUAGGAAUUCCCCAGCCUCAAUUCAUAUGUAUUGGGAGAUAUCCAAGCAGACUCACUACACAGAUAUAGUUGGGUUUGCUGGAACAUGCUCCUAAUUUUGAGUGCAGUGCAUUAGGCUUGCUCGCCAACAACUUGUAUACACAACUUUAGAGGACACACAUGGAUCAAAGUAAUGCAUAUUUUUGAGAAAGGAUCAAAGGAGAAAGUCACUGUGCAUAAAUUCUUGCUUGUCUUCCUGGGAGUCUUGCUUCAUUGGGAUAGUUUAUUCUGGUUUAAUGAGAUCCCAUAUAUAGAACACAGUAGCACUCAAUAUCUUUUAGCUCCCCCAUUAUAAUUUAAGCGCUUUAAUUUCAGCCAAAGUUUGAGCCUCCUACCACUUAAAGCAUGCUAACUGACUUUUACAACAAUGCAAAGAUAGAGAAAUGGAAGUUCCUUAUCACCGAAGGAACAUAUUUUCAUAACAAAAGGGAUUGUCACUGAGUUGCAUCUUCUCAGUUAGUGGGGUCAUGAGGAGUGUGGGAUAUAAUCACUGCCUAAUACGAUGUCUCUAUAUUAUUAAAACACCUCAUUGCAGCCUCUUGGCAUACAUCUAUAAUUCUAGCUCCUUGAGACAAUGAAACAGCAGGCUCACAGAUUCAAGGCACACCUAUGAUACCUAGGGAGUUUGAGACCAGCCUAGGCAACCUGUGAGACCACGUCUCAAAUUUCAAAAUAAGAGUACAGAGGGAUAGCCCAGUGAUAUAUCAUUUUCCUAGCAAGGCCCUAGGUUCAAACUCUUGCGUACUAAAAACAAUUAAGUUUACCUUGGAACACAAUGCAGGCCUGCAAGCAUGUCACUAAUUAAUGCCACAUACCAAUGCCAAUCAAACACAUCCACAUUAAUGGUCAUUAAACUCUUGUAAGACACAACAUUUUGUAUAGUAAUGUGUGAAAAAUCCAGUUAGGUGUAUUUCUCUUAUAAUAUAGAUAUAAAUAACAGUAGAAACAUCUUGUGUGCACUUUAAAUCAUACAUAAUCUAUAAACCACUAAAAUUAAUAUUGGAAAAUGACUGUAUUGUGAUGCCUAUAAUUGUCUCUUCACAUCCCAAAGGGUUCAUAUAAUGUAAAAGUCAUUACACAUAGACCUAUAGAUUUUGGAGGCUUUAUGCUCUGGGUACUGCAUACUGUUCUCAGGUUGAUAAAAUUUAGGAAUCUGUGCGCUCAGGUCAGAUCAGAACAAUGUCUGAACUCACUUAUGUCUAAGGGGCAGGUUCAGUGAGAGUGUGACAGAAGUCUGAACUGGCCCCAGGUCUUACUAUUCAGUAACCUCAUAUUAUUGGGCUGCUUCCAGAAACAGAAAACAGCAUGUGAAUUUAAAGCAACAUUUUAACUUCCCUAUGUUUUGAUUUUGUUUGCUUUUCAUUUCAAAUAGCAAGAAUCUGGAGGUGAGCCACUCCAAAAGCUGGUGAAUUCCAUUGCAGGAUCGAUCCAUUGUUGAGGCCUAUGGUUCUUGAUGUCUUUUCAUUGAGCCACUCUGAAUUAGCAGACUCUGUGGAUGAAUCGACUCAAUUUUUCAGAAGCUGCCACUGUUCUAGAUAGCUGUGGAGA